UACGAGGGGGGCAAAUGUUGUUCGGAAUCACUGGGCGUAAAGGGAGCGUAGGCGGGUUUUUAAGUCAGGUGUUUAAUCCCGGGGCCCAACCCCGGACAGGCACUUGAAACUGGGAAUCUUGAAUAGUGGAGAGGUCAGUGGAAUUGGGGGUGUAGCGGUGGAAUGCGUAGAGAUCCCCAAGAACACCCGUUGCGAAGGCGGCUGACUGGACACAUAUUGACGCUGAGGCUCGAAGGCGUGGGGAGCAAACAGG
rnacentral:rRNA from 1 species